AUUGAACGCUGGCGGCAGGCUUAACACAUGCAAGUCGAACGAGUGGCGGACGGGUGAGUAAUGCUUGGGAAUCUAGCUUAUGGAGGGGGAUAACUACGGGAAACUGUAGAUAAUACCGCGUACCAUAGGAUGAGCCCAAGUGGGAUUAGGUAGUUGGUGAGGUAAAGGCUCACGAAACCGACGAUCUCUAGCUGGUCUGAGAGGAUGACCAGCCACACUGGGAGUGAGACACGGCCCAGACGCUUACGUGAGUCAGCAGGGGGGAAUAGUGCGAAAUGGGGUGAACCCUUACGAAGCCAUGCCGCGUGAAUGAAGAAGGCAUUAGGGUUGUAAAGUACUUUCAGCGGGGAGGCGUUACCCGCAGAAGAAGCACCGGCUAACUCCGUGCCAGCAGCAGCGGUAAUAC
rnacentral:rRNA from 1 species